GCAGCAGAACAGAACAAAGAGAAGACUCUGGAUCAGGGCUGACUGAACUCCAGGAGAUGGAGAACAGAGCAGAACCUCUAGGAUCCAGAUGUCCAACUAUGAGGAGUGAUGGGUCCAAACAUUUCCCUCCAGACUUCAAAGAACCUGGACCCUCAGAAGGUCAGAACCACAGACAGAGAGCAGAACCUCCAGGAUCCAGCUGUCCAUCUAUGAGGAGUAACCGGUCCAAAGGAAACCAUCCAGACUUCAGCAAAGAA